ACGAACGUUGGCGGCGUGCCUAAUACAUGCAAGUAGAACGCUGAAGGAGGAGCUUGCUUCUCCGGAUGAGUUGCGAACGGGUGAGUAACGCGUAGGUAACCUGCCUGGUAGCGGGGGAUAACUAUUGGAAACGAUAGCUAAUACCGCAUAACAGUAGAUAUCGCAUGAUAUCUGCUUGAAAGGUGCAAUUGCAUCACUACCAGAUGGACCUGCGUUGUAUUAGCUAGUUGGUGAGGUAACGGCUCACCAAGGCGACGAUACAUAGCCGACCUGAGAGGGUGAUCGGCCACACUGGGACUGAGACACGGCCCAGACUCCUACGGGAGGCAGCAGUAGGGAAUCUUCGGCAAUGGACGGAAGUCUGACCGAGCAACGCCGCGUGAGUGAAGAAGGUUUUCGGAUCGUAAAGCUCUGUUGUAAGAGAAGAACGAGUGUGAGAGUGGAAAGUUCACACUGUGACGGUAUCUUACCAGAAAGGGACGGCUAACUACGUG
rnacentral:rRNA from 1 species